ensembl:lncRNA
AAAGACUGAGGCUAGAAUUUGGAUUGAACAUCAGCACUAAUAAGAAUGAAUGAUAAUGAUGAAAGGGAGUUAAGAGUCAUGGGGUAAUGAUUAGAAUCAGAGUUGGAGGACCAUCUGUUUUGUCUCAGGUCUCUACUUGUGCCUCCUUUUAGGUUGUGACUUUCAGGGCCAAGGUCUUUGGACUCAGUGUUACCAAGAAAGCAGCUCCUCUGAUAUUGAAGAACAGGGAAGCAUGGUAUGCUGCCGUCCACGGGGUCAAAAAGAGCUGGAUGUGACUUAGUGACUGAACAACAAGCCCUUCUGAGCCUCUGCCCUUGAAUCACAUCUUUCAUAUACAACCUCGAGAAGCAGUGAAGGCAAGUCUGCAAAGAAGCAGCAGCUCUGUAGAGAGAACAACAUUUGACCAGGGAGAAAAAGAGAUAAUGAAGGAAUACCUACUGGGCUUCAUGCUGGUAAGUUAAAUCAUUGUUCCAGUCCUUCGUGAGAUCUUGUUGCUCUCUGUGCCUUUGGGUUCUGUAAGAUUAUUUCCUUAAUUUUUUUUUCUUUCACAAAGAAGUUUCAGUAGGUUUCUGUACUGGCAGACAAAAGAGCCUUGACUAAGAGUGACUUUUAUCAGAUUAGCUCUUUCAUUCAACAAACACUGAUUGAGUUUGCUGCAGUCCCACCGAGACUGGUGGAGCCCACAAGUCUACAGAGCAUGCACUAACAGAAAGGUAUAUAUAGAAAUAAAACAACAGUAUUUGGUAAUAAAAUUAAUCUAGGUAAUACCCCACUUGGUUGUCGGUACAUUAACAGCAAUUUCUAAGAGCUAGUCCUUUUGGAGCUAGGUUUUGUGAGAACACACAGACAUAUAAAUUUCCUAGGCCUAUAAUGGGGACUAUCUGCGCAGAAGAAGGAGGGACCAAUUCUGCCUGAUCAGAGUACGGGAGACAUAGAGGUAAUAAAUAAAUGAAGGGGCAAUAGAAGUGUGCUGGGUAACAGAGGAAGGGGCAGAGGGGAGUAGGAG